rnacentral:rRNA from 1 species
GACGAACGCUGGCGGCGUGCUUAACACAUGCCAGUCGAACGGAAAGGCCCUGCUUUUGUGGGGUGCUCGAGUGGCGAACGGGUGAGUAACACGUGAGUAACCUGCCCUUGACUUUGGGAUAACUUCAGGAAACUGGGGCUAAUACCGGAUAGGAGCUCCUGCUGCAUGGUGGGGGUUGGAAAGUUUCGGCGGUUGGGGAUGGACUCGCGGCUUAUCAGCUUGUUGGUGGGGUAGUGGCUUACCAAGGCUUUGACGGGUAGCCGGCCUGAGAGGGUGACCGGCCCCAUUGGGACUGAGAUACGGCCCAGACUCCUACGGGAGGCAGCAGUGGGGAAUAUUACACAGUGGGCGGAGGCCUGAUGCAGCAACGCCGCGUGCGGGAUGACGGCCUUCGGGUUGUAAACCGCUUUCGCCUGUGACGAAGCGUGAGUGACGGUACUGGGUAAAGAAGCACCGGCUAACUACGUG